CGCACGGGUGAGUAACACGUAUCCAACCUGCCGUCUACUCUUGGACAGCCUUCUGAAAGGAAGAUUAAUACAAGAUGGCAUCAUGAGUCCACAUGUUCACAUGAUUAAAGGUAUUCCGGUAGACGAUGGGGAUGCGUUCCAUUAGAUAGUAGGCGGGGUAACGGCCCACCUAGUCAACGAUGGAUAGGGGUUCUGAGAGGAAGGUCCCCCACAUUGGAACUGAGACACGGUCCAA
rnacentral:rRNA from 1 species